rnacentral:rRNA from 1 species
CCUACGGGAGGCAGCAGUGAGGAAUAUUGGACAAUGGGCGCAAGCCUGAUCCAGCCAUGCCGCGUGCAGGAUGACGGUCCUAUGGAUUGUAAACUGCUUUUGUACAGGAAGAAACACUCCCUCGUGAGGGAGCUUGACGGUACUGUAAGAAUAAGGAUCGGCUAACUCCGUGCCAGCAGCCGCGGUAAUACGGAGGAUCCAAGCGUUAUCCGGAAUCAUUGGGUUUAAAGGGUCCGUAGGCGGUCAGAUAAGUCAGUGGUGAAAGCCCAUCGCUCAACGGUGGAACGGCCAUUGAUACUGUCUGACUUGAAUUAUUAGGAAGUAACUAGAAUAUGUAGUGUAGCGGUGAAAUGCUUAGAGAUUACAUGGAAUACCAAUUGCGAAGGCAGGUUACUACUAAUGGAUUGACGCUGAUGGACGAAAGCGUGGGUAGCGAACAGGAUUAGAUACCCUGGUAGUCCACGCCGUAAACGAUGGAUACUAGCUGUUGGGAGCAAUUUCAGUGGCUAAGCGAAAGUGAUAAGUAUCCCACCUGGGGAGUACGUUCGCAAGAUGAAACUUAAAGGAAUUGACGG